rnacentral:rRNA from 1 species
AUGAACGCUGGCGGCGUGCCUAAUACAUGCACGUCGAGCGAACGGACGAGAAGCUUGCUUCUCUGAUGUUAGCGGCGGACGGGUGAGUAUCACGUGGAUAACCUACCUAUAAGACUGGGAUAACUUCGGGAAACCGGAGCUAAUACCGGAUAAUAUUUUGAACCGCAUGGUUCAAAAGUGAAAGACGGUCUUGCUGUCACUUAUAGAUGGAUCCGCGCUGCAUUAGCUAGUUGGUAAGGUAACGGCUUACCAAGGCAACGAUGCAUAGCCGACCUGAGAGGGUGAUCGGCCACACUGGAACUGAGACACGGUCCAGACUCCUACGGGAGGCAGCAGUAGGGAAUCUUCCGCAAUGGGCGAAAGCCUGACGGAGCAACGCCGCGUGAGUGAUGAAGGUCUUCGGAUCGUAAAACUCUGUUAUUAGGGAAGAACAUAUGUGUAAGUAACUGUGCACAUCUUGACGGUACCUAAUCAGAAAGCCACGGCUAACUACGUG